AAUAGAUACCCCGGUAGUCCACGCCGUAAACGAUGGAUACUAGCUGUUCGGUCGCAAGAUUGAGUGGCUAAGCGAAAGUGAUAAGUAUCCCACCUGGGGAGUACGAACGCAAGUUUGAAACUCAAAGGAAUUGACGGGGGCCCGCACAAGCGGUGGAGCAUGUGGUUUAAUUCGAUGAUACGCGAGGAACCUUACCAAGGCUUAAAUGUAGUAUUGACAGGACUGGAAACAGUUUUUUCUUCGGACAAUUUACAAGGUGCUGCAUGGUUGUCGUCAGCUCGUGCCGUGAGGUGUCAGGUUAAGUCCUAUAACGAGCGCAACCCCUGUUGUUAGUUGCCAGCGAGUCAAGUCGGGAACUCUAACAAGACUGCCAGUGUAAACUGUGAGGAAGGUGGGGAUGACGUCAAAUCAUCACGGCCCUUACGCCUUGGGCUACACACGUGCUACAAUGGCCGGUACAGAGAGCAGCCACUGCGCGAGCAGGAGCGAAUCUAUAAAACCCGGUCACAGUUCGGAUCGGAGUCUGCAACUCGACUCCG
rnacentral:rRNA from 1 species